ACGCUCGACACCUACGGGAGGCAGCAGGUAGGGAAUCUUCCACAAUGGGCGCAAGCCUGAUGGAGCAACACCGCGUGAGUGAAGAAGGGUUUCGGCUCGUAAAGCUCUGUUGUUGGAGAAGAACGUGCGUGAGAGUAACUGUUCACGCAGUGACGGUAUCCAACCAGAAAGUCACGGCUAACUACGUGCCAACAGCCGCGGUAAUCUGAGCGGGCUGGCAAGGC
rnacentral:rRNA from 1 species